rnacentral:rRNA from 1 species
GAUCGUAAACCUCUUUUAUAGGGGAAUAAAGUGCGGGACGUGUCCCGUUUUGUAUGUACCUUAUGAAUAAGGAUCGGCUAACUCCGUGCCAGCAGCCGCGGUAAUACGGAGGAUCCGAGCGUUAUCCGGAUUUAUUGGGUUUAAAGGGUGCGUAGGCGGCCUUUUAAGUCAGCGGUGAAAGUCUGUGGCUCAACCAUAGAAUUGCCGUUGAAACUGGGAGGCUUGAGUAUGUUUGAGGCAGGCGGAAUGCGUGGUGUAGCGGUGAAAUGCUUAGAUAUCACGCAGAACCCCGAUUGCGAAGGCAGCCUGCCAAGCCAUGACUGACGCUGAUGCACGAAAGCGUGGGGAUCAAACAGGAUUAGAUACCCUGGUAGUCCACGCAGU